rnacentral:rRNA from 1 species
AUUGAACGCUGGCGGCGUGCUUAACACAUGCAAGUCGAUCGGUAACGCGGGGGCAACCCUGGCGACGAGAGGCGGACGGGUGAGGAACGCUUGGGAAUCUGCCCUUCAGCGGGGGACAACCCGGGGAAACCCGGGCUAAUACCGCAUACGCUCCACGGAGGAAAGCCGGGGACCGCAAGGCCUGGCACUGAAGGAUGAGCCCAAGUCGGAUUAGCUAGUUGGCGGGGUAACGGCCCACCAAGGCGACGAUCCGUAGCUGGUCUGAGAGGACGAUCAGCCACACUGGGACUGAGACACGGCCCAGACUCCUACGGGAGGCAGCAGUGGGGAAUAUUGGACAAUGGGGGAAACCCUGAUCCAGCGACGCCGCGUGGGUGAAGAAGGCCUGCGGGUUGUAAAGCCCUUUCGGUAGGGACGAAAGCUCUCGACCUAACACGUCGGGAGGAUGACUUAACCUACAAAAGAAGCACCGGCUAACUCUGUGCCAGCCGCCGCCGUAACAC